rnacentral:rRNA from 1 species
AGUGGGGAAUUUUGGACAAUGGGGGAAACCCUGAUCCAGCCAUGCCGCGUGCGGGAAGAAGGCCUUCGGGUUGUAAACCGCUUUUGGCAGGAACGAAACGGCGCGAGCGAAUACCUUGCGCUAAUGACGGUACCUGCAGAAUAAGCACCGGCUAACUACGUGCCAGCAGCCGCGGUAAUACGUAGGGUGCGAGCGUUAAUCGGAAUUACUGGGCGUAAAGCGUACGCAGGCGGCUGUGCAAGACAGGUGUGAAAUCCCCGGGCCUAACCUGGGAACCGCAUUUGUGACUGCACGGCUAGAGUCCGUAAGAGGGGGGUGGAAUUCCACGUGUAGCAGUGAAAUGCGUAGAGAUGUGGAGGAACACCGAUGGCGAAGGCAGCCCCCUGGGAUGAGACUGACGCUCAUGUACGAAAGCGUGGGGAGCAAACAGGAUUAGAUACCCUGGUAGUCCACGCCCUAAACGAUGUCGACUAGUUGUCGGGCCUUUACAGGCUUGGUAACGCAGCUAACGCGUGAAGUCGACCGCCUGGGGAGUACGGUCGCAAGAUUAAAACUCA